AAUGUGCUUACCGUACUUUAAUUACUACGUUUGUCCUUUUCACCUCUCGUCUCUUCUUCUGGCCUUUUAUCUCUCUCUUCCUUCUUAAGUUCUCACUCACCCAUCUCAUUCCAUCGUGAUCAGACCGACCCAUCUCUUCCGCUUCCAGUAUCUCUCAGCUCUAUCUCUCUCCAUACUCUAGCCUGAGAGUUUCUUAGAAUAUCUGGGUCUGUGAAAUAGAGGGGAAGGAAGAACACGGUAAAGGAAGCGUUUUGUUUUGAGGGGAAUGUUGUCUGGCUCGAGGCCACCAACUAGAUCUAUGAUAUUAUCUCAAUUUCACCAAUAUUCCAAAUUAGAUCUUUGGUAUCUCCAGUUGACAGAGAUGCUCAUAUCAUUGAUCAUGAGUUUAUGACGUCGGACCAGGCUUCAUUCCCCCCAAUUAUUGCUUCCAUUCAAUCUGAUCACAAUCUCCUUUAAUUUGUUCUUCAUUUUUUUGUCUUGAUCUACUGGUGAGCAUUCUUGCCUCUUUUUCAUGUGAUUUUCUCCCAUGUAUUGGUAUAUUCUUAUCAGCUUUUGGGACUUUUUAAUCUUUUUAAUUAUAUAGACAUGAUAUAUUACUAUGGCUUUUUUGUAAUUAGAGAAAUUAUGGUCGUUGGGCAAGAGCAGAUUGGAGUAAUGAUGAUGGAUUUUGACUGCUUUUUUCCACCCUUUUUACUGACUGAAGAAGAGUGAACGGAUCAUCAUUACUCUUUAUUUUUUUUCUCUAAAUUUCAUGGAUCGGGCAGGCUUGUGUUUUUCCCUGUCAGUCUUUCUAACUCUCAGGUUCAUCAUUGGGCUGGUUCUUUCAUGAUGGCUUCGCAAGAAUCUUCUCUGUCCGUUUCUGCCCUUUCCCUGAUCUACUUCGUAAUUGGCUUCUUCUCGAACUUCCAUUCCUAGCCUCAACACCAAAACGGUACUUUAGCUUAGGGUUUUCCUCCGAUGGAUUCGUACUGCAGAGUUCAUGCCGAGAGAAGUCCAGAUCUCCUUUACUGUGUUUAUUUGCAAGUUUUUUCUCAAAUGGACUUUCAAAUAUAAUGGUUAUAAUAAUAGUCGAUAUCAAUAUGCAUGCUUGUAAAACUGGAUGUAUUAUGAUCAUGGUUUUCGAAAUAUCAUUCUGUGGGUAUAUCUGGUUUCAUCUUUUGUAUGCAAGUUAUACUGAGAUGGGUGGAUUGUUGGCUUUUCUUUUGUUUGGACCUCUGAGUCCGGUCACUUGAUGCUUUUUUCAUUGAUGAAGAGACGGCAAAAGCACUCGGUUUCUUUGGAGGUAUGCUUAGGUUAUUAUCUCCAUUGAUCAAACUCAAUGUUUUUCGCAAGUUUCGAUCCAAAGAUGUUAUUAGCUUUUAUAAUGCGUGUGUUUGACACCACAUGAUCCAUUGCUUCAAGAAAGGUGGAAGAAUAAUUUCUUAAGGCUGACAGAUGUGCGAGUAGGUUGUGUUCGAGAAGCAACCCACUUGUUAUUUGCAAGAGCACUCUAUUAUUUGCACUACUUCUUUCAUCUAGGAUGUUUUAUCAGAUUUUAGAGCGAUGGGAACACGAAUGGUGACAUGUAGUAAUAUUUACACAAAAUAGAGAAGAAAAGGAAAAAGAAUGAUGUGAUAGAUUGGAUGUCUGAUUUUGCUUGGACCUUCUAGUCUUGUCCUAUAUAUGUGGCUAUGUGUGAGCAAGUUACAGUUCAGAACAGUAACUUCUUUCUUUGUUUUUUCUUCUUAGAAAUGAAACCCCAAAUUCUGCAAUCAGUGAGAGGAGGAAGAUAUGUUCUAAAAACUAGAUGUUGUGAACGGGUAGCUACUAGCUAGCUGUUCAUCAUGUUCUUCCACCAAGAAGACAGCAAAAUCUGGUUUUCUGAAUGCCUUGUAUAUAUUCUGCAAUCCUUCUUUUGCGUAGUAUUCUGAAUACAAGUCUUACUAUAUCAAGUCCAUCAUUUAUGCUUCCUAGACUGUAUUGGGAUUUCAAGUUUGAAGUAUUUAUGGUCAAUUUCGAGAAUUAUUUGUUCAAAUUUCAACGAGAUCGGACACGGGACAGGAGGCCGGAAAGGUGGGAUGUAAUGUCAUGACAAACAUUACAUCUUCGACGUCUCUUCGCAACAGUAAUAUUUCUCUCCAAAACUGAGAAGGAAAUAUAAAAAAGGAAAAAGAAGAUCAUGAAGUGAUUUGAAAGAUGAAGGAGAGAAGCUUCACCGAAUUAGAAGACAACGUCCGUGAUGGGUCUCUACUCUCCUAAUUAGUGCUUUGUGGCGUUGGGUGGAGUGUUGAGCAUCAUUCGGUCAUCAAUUUCUGAAGCUGAGUGCCUAUGAAAACACUCAAUGCCUUUAAUGACCUGACUCCUUUUCCCUUCUGAAUCAUUUACCAUAAUGCAGUUGGGUCAACAUCAGCAGUUACAACAUGGAUUCCCCCAUUGUUUAGUAUUUCAAUUACUUGUUAGGAAUCUAGUACAGAAAAAAGAUGUCAGCUUAGUGUUACUCCUCCCAACACAUGAUGUCCUGUCUCCUUAACUCGUCUAGAAAAGCUGCUCAAAAAUUAAAUAAAGCCAAGUAUUAUUAUUAUUAUUAUCGUAAGUUUAUUUAAGAGCUAUCCAAUUAGAUGUCAUGCAUUUCAUUAGCCAACUUCUGUAUACGGUAUAUAUCUUGUUGAAUGGAACUGUAAAGACGCUCGAUCUUGUGAAAAUUGGAUAUUAGGAAUGCAUUCUUG